ensembl:rRNA 5S_rRNA 5S ribosomal RNA
GACUACGGCUGUGCCACUCUGAACAUGCCUGAUCUCGUCUGAUCUUGGAGGCUAAGCAGGGUCAGGCCUGGUUAGUACUUAGAUGGGAGACCACCUAGGAAUACCAGGUGCUAUAGGUG